rnacentral:lncRNA from 1 species
UACCUCAAGUCACCAUUGUACCCGGUACAGGUGUCUCUUACACAAGGCAACGGACAGGGGGGUGAUACAAUGGGACAAUGAAUGGUUCAAGCUUGUCAACCCCUUCUGGACCCAGACCUCACCUCCCUUCCUGUGGAAGUGAAACCAGCUGCCUGUAUCUGCAUGUUCUACCCAAUCCAUCGGGACAGAGAAGAGGGAAAGAUUGUUUCUGUAGUCAGUAACAUCUGAAUGCUGUUGGAUGAGGUAACCUUGGCAUUGCCAUGGAGACAUGUUUUCUAGCUGCGCCUGCAUCAUGAAACUGCACACUGAGUUAUUGCUCAUCUGCAGCUGGACGUCCA